GAUGAAGAACGUAGCGAAAUGCGAUAAGUAAUGUGAAUUGCAGAAUUCAGUGAAUCAUCGAAUCUUUGAACGCACCUUGCGCCCUUUGGCCAUUCCGAAGGGCAUGCCUGUUUGAGUAUCAUGAACACCUCAACUCUUCAUGGUUUUCCAUGAUGAGCUUGGACUUUGGGGGUCUUGCUGGCCUGUGGGUCGGCUCCUCUCAAAUGAAUCAGCUUGCCGGUUUUUGGUGGGCAUCACAGGUGUGAUAACUAUCUACGCUUGUGGUUUUCCACCAGGGUAACCUUCAGCAGUGGAGGUUCGCUGGAGCUCAUAGAUGUCUCUCCUCAGUGAGGACAGCCCUUUGAAUGUUUGAUCUCAAAUCAGGUAGGACUACCCGCUGAACUUAAGCAUAUCAAUAAGCGGAGGA
rnacentral:misc_RNA from 1 species